rnacentral:rRNA from 1 species
GAUGAACGCUGGCGGCGUGCCUAAUACAUGCAAGUCGAGCGAACAGACGAGGAGCUUGCUCCUCUGACGUUAGCGGCGGACGGGUGAGUAACACGUGGAUAACCUACCUAUAAGACUGGGAUAACUUCGGGAAACCGGAGCUAAUACCGGAUAAUAUAUUGAACCGCAUGGUUCAAUAGUGAAAGACGGUUUUGCUGUCACUUAUAGAUGGAUCCGCGCCGCAUUAGCUAGUUGGUAAGGUAACGGCUUACCAAGGCAACGAUGCGUAGCCGACCUGAGAGGGGGACGGGCCCAACGGGAACGAGGAACCGGCCCAAACCCCCAGGGGGGGCAGAGGAGGGAAAUUUCCCGAAAGGGGGGAAAGCUUGAGGGGGAAACCCCGGGUGGGGAAUAAGGGUCUUCGGAUCGUAAAACUCUUUUAUUGGGAAAAAACAAAUUGGAAAGUAACUAGGCCGGUUUGAAGGGUCCCUAAUCAAAAGGCCCCGGUAAACCAGGG